UACGAAGGGGGCUAGCGUUGCUCGGAAUCACUGGGCGUAAAGCGCACGUAGGCGGCUUACUAAGUCAGGGGUGAAAUCCUGGAGCUCAACUCCAGAACUGCCUUUGAUACUGGUGAGCUUGAGUCCGGGAGAGGUGAGUGGAACUGCGAGUGUAGAGGUGAAAUUCGUAGAUAUUCGCAAGAACACCAGUGGCGAAGGCAGCUCACUGGCCCGGUACUGACGCUGAGGUGCGAAAGCGUGGGGAGCAAACAGG
rnacentral:rRNA from 1 species